UCGGAAGGUAGGGGUUCGAGUUUGUGAAGAAGACUUCCCUUAUUUUCUUCUCUUCUUCUAUAGUGGCCAUGCUCGGAUUGCCAAGGGCCGAAGCUGUUGUAGCGAUUGGGGGUUAUCGCUGCCAUCGAGGAUUGCCGAUGUGGGAGGGGAGGUGGUUGCUCCUAAUGCCUUUUGCCUUCUUUAUUUUUUUCAGAAAGCCGAAACAAAAAAGAUAAGAGAAAAUUAAAAAAAACUCCCUCUUUCCUCUCUUUUCUUUCUCUCUCAUCUAU
rnacentral:lncRNA from 1 species